rnacentral:rRNA from 1 species
UGCAAGUCGAACGGCAGCGCGGGGAGCUUGCUCCCUGGCGGCGAGUGGCGGACGGGUGAGUAAUGCGUAGGAAUCUGCCCAGCGGUGGGGGAUAACCCGAGGAAACUCGGGCUAAUACCGCAUACGUCCUCCUUCCAUAUUGGUUGGGGGGGAAAGCGGGGGACCUUCGGGCCUCGCGCAGCUGGAUGAGCCUACGUCGGAUUAGCUUGUUGGUAGGGUAACGGCUUACCAAGGCGACGAUCCGUAGCUGGUCUGAGAGGAUGAUCAGCCACACUGGGACUGAGACACGGCCCAGACUCCUACGGGAGGCAGCAGUGGGGAAUAUUGGACAAUGGGCGCAAGCCUGAUCCAGCAAUGCCGCGUGUGUGAAGAAGGCCUUCGGGUUGUAAAGCACUUUCAGUAGGGAAGAAAAGCUAGAUGUUAAUACCAUCGAGUUUUGACGUUACUUACAGAAGAAGCACCGGCUAACUCUGUGCCAGCAGCCGCGGUAAUACAGAGGGUGCGAGCGUUAAUCGGAAUUACUGGGCGUAAAGGGCGCGUAGGUGGCUUGGUAAGUUGGAUGUGAAAGCCCUGGGCUUAACCUGGGAAUUGCAUUCGAUACUGCCUCGCUAGAGUAUGGUAGAGGGAAGCGGAAUUCCCGGCGUAGCGGUGAAAUGCGUAGAUAUCGGGAGGAACAUCAGUGG